GACGAACGCUGGCGGCGUGCUUAACACAUGCAAGUCGAACGGAAAGGCCCUGCUUUUGUGGGGUGCUCGAGUGGCGAACGGGUGAGUAACACGUGAGUAACCUGCCCUUGACUUUGGGAUAACUUCAGGAAACUGGGGCUAAUACCGGAUAGGAGCUCCUGCUGCAUGGUGGGGGUUGGAAAGUUUCGGCGGUUGGGGAUGGACUCGCGGCUUAUCAGCUUGUUGGUGGGGUAGUGGCUUACCAAGGCUUUGACGGGUAGCCGGCCUGAGAGGGUGACCGGCCACAUUGGGACUGAGAUACGGACCAGACUCCUACGGGAGGCAGCAGUGGGGAAUAUUGCACAAUGGGCGGAAGCCUGAUGCAGCAACGCCGCGUGCGGGAUGACGGCCUUCGGGUUGGAAACCGCGUUCGCCUGUGACGAAGCGUGAGUGACGGUAAUGGGUAAAGAAGCACCGGCUAACUACGUG
rnacentral:rRNA from 1 species